rnacentral:rRNA from 1 species
UCGAACGAGAAAGGGUAGCAAUACCUGAGUACAGUGGCGCACGGGUGAGUAACACGUGACUAACCUACCCUGGAGUGGGGGAUAACUGAGGGAAACCUUAGCUAAUACCGCAUAACACCUACGGGUCAAAGGAGCAUUCGCUUCAGGAGGGGGUCGCGGCCGAUUAGUUAGUUGGCGGGGUAAUGGCCCACCAAGACAGUGAUCGGUAUCCGGCCUGAGAGGGCGCACGGACACACUGGAACUGAAACACGGUCCAGACUCCUACGGGAGGCAGCAGUGGGGAAUUUUGCGCAAUGGGGGAAACCCUGACGCAGCAACGCCGCGUGGAGGAUGAAGUCCUUCGGGACGUAAACUCCUUUCGAUCGGGAAGAUUAUGACGGUACCGGAAGAAGAAGCCCCGGCUAACUUCGUGCCAGCAGCCGCGGUAAUACGAGGGGGGCGAGCGUUGUUCGGAAUUAUUGGGCGUAAAGGGUGCGUAGGCGGUUUUGUAAGUCUUAUGUGAAAUCUAUGGGCUCAACUCAUAGACUGCAUGAGAAACUGCAGGGCUUGAGUAUGGGAGAGGUGAGUGGAAUUCCUGGUGUAGCGGUGAAAUGCGUAGAUAUCAGGAGGAACACCUGUGGCGAAAGCGGCUCACUGGACCAUAACUGACGCUGAUGCACGAAAGCUAGGGGAGCAAACAGGAUUAGAUACCCUGGUAGUCCUAGCCCUAAACGAUGACUGCUUUGGUGUGACGGGUACCCAAUCCCGCCGUGCCGUAGCUAACGCGGUUAAGCAGUC